GAACGCGAAGAACCUUACCUGGUCUUGACAUGUACGGAAUCCUCCAGAGACGGAGGAGUGCCUUCGGGAGCCGUAACACAGGUGCUGCAUGGCUGUCGUCAGCUCGUGUCGUGAGAUGUUGGGUUAAGUCCCGCAACGAGCGCAACCCUUGUCAUUAGUUGCCAUCAUUAAGUUGGGCACUCUAAUGAGACUGCCGGUGACAAGCCGGAGGAAGGUGGGGAUGACGUCAAGUCCUCAUGGCCCUUAUGACCAGGGCUUCACACGUCAUACAAUGGUCGGUACAGAGGGUAGCCAAGCCGCGAGGUGGAGCCAAUCUCACAAAACCGAUCGUAGUCCGGAUUGCACUCUGCAACUCGAGUGCAUGAAGUCGGAAUCGCUAAUAAUCGCAGGUCAGCAUACUGCGGUGAAUACGUUCCCGGGUCUUGUACACACC
rnacentral:rRNA from 1 species